rnacentral:rRNA from 2 species
UGGGGAAUAUUGCGCAAUGGGGGGAACCCUGACGCAGCAACGCCGCGUGAAGGAUGAAGGUUUUCGGAUCGUAAACUUCUUUGAUGAGGGACGAAACAAAUGACGGUACCUCAAAAACAAGCCACGGCUAACUACGUGCCAGCAGCCGCGGUAAUACGUAGGUGGCGAGCGUUGUCCGGAAUUACUGGGUGUAAAGGGCGUGUAGGCGGGAAUGCAAGUCAGAUGUGAAAUACUGAGGCUUAACCUCAGGGCUGCAUCUGAAACUGUGUUUCUUGAGUGUCGGAGAGGAAAGUGGAAUUCCUAGUGUAGCGGUGAAAUGCGUAGAUAUUAGGAGGAACACCAGUGGCGAAGGCGACUUUCUGGACGAUAACUGACGCUGAGGCGCGAAAGCGUGGGGAGCAAACAGG